GGCAGCAUGGCCUAGUGGAUAGAGCAUAAGCCUGGGAAUCAGAAGGACCUGGAUUCUAAUCCCAGUUUUGCCA
rnacentral:tRNA from 1 species